rnacentral:rRNA from 1 species
AGUUUGAUCAUGGCUCAGAUUGAACGCUGGCGGCAGGCUUAACACAUGCAAGUCGAGCGGGGAAAGGUAGCUUGCUACCUGACCUAGCGGCGGACGGGUGAGUAAUGCUUAGGAAUCUGCCUAUUAGUGGGGGACAACAUUCCGAAAGGAAUGCUAAUACCGCAUACGCCCUACGGGGGAAAGCAGGGGAUUUUCGGACCUUGCGCUAAUAGAUGAGCCUAAGUCAGAUUAGCUAGUUGGUGGGGUAAAGGCCUACCAAGGCGACGAUCUGUAGCGGGUCUGAGAGGAUGAUCCGCCACACUGGGACUGAGACACGGCCCAGACUCCUACGGGAGGCAGCAGUGGGGAAUAUUGGACAAUGGGCGAAAGCCUGAUCCAGCCAUGCCGCGUGUGUGAAGAAGGCCUUUUGGUUGUAAAGCACUUUAAGCGAGGAGGAGGCUACUUAGAUUAAUACUCUAGGAUAGUGGACGUUACUCGCAGAAUAAGCACCGGCUAACUCUGUGCCAGCAGCCGCGGUAAUACAGAGGGUGCGAGCGUUAAUCGGAUUUACUGGGCGUAAAGCGUGCGUAGGCGGCUUUUUAAGUCGGAUGUGAAAUCCCUGAGCUUAACUUAGGAAUUGCAUUCGAUACUGGGAAGCUAGAGUAUGGGAGAGGAUGGUAGAAUUCCAGGUGUAGCGGUGAAAUGCGUAGAGAUCUGGAGGAAUACCGAUGGCGAAGGCAGCCAUCUGGCCUAAUACUGACGCUGAGGUACGAAAGCAUGGGGAGCAAACAGGAUUAGAUACCCUGGUAGUCCAUGCCGUAAACGAUGUCUACUAGCCGUUGGGGCCUUUGAGGCUUUAGUGGCGCAGCUAACGCGAUAAGUAGACCGCCUGGGGAGUACGGUCGCAAGACUAAAACUCAAAUGAAUUGACGGGGGCCCGCACAAGCGGUGGAGCAUGUGGUUUAAUUCGAUGCAACGCGAAGAACCUUACCUGGUCUUGACAUAGUAAGAACUUUCCAGAGAUGGAUUGGUGCCUUCGGGAACUUACAUACAGGUGCUGCAUGGCUGUCGUCAGCUCGUGUCGUGAGAUGUUGGGUUAAGUCCCGCAACGAGCGCAACCCUUUUCCUUAUUUGCCAGCGGGUUAAGCCGGGAACUUUAAGGAUACUGCCAGUGACAAACUGGAGGAAGGCGGGGACGACGUCAAGUCAUCAUGGCCCUUACGACCAGGGCUACACACGUGCUACAAUGGUCGGUACAAAGGGUUGCUACCUAGCGAUAGGAUGCUAAUCUCAAAAAGCCGAUCGUAGUCCGGAUUGGAGUCUGCAACUCGACUCCAUGAAGUCGGAAUCGCUGGUAAUCGCGGAUCAGAAUGCCGCGGUGAAUACGUUCCCGGGCCUUGCACACACCGCCCGUC